rnacentral:rRNA from 1 species
UACGUAGGGGGCGAGCGUUAUCCGGAUUCAUUGGGCGUAAAGUGCGCGUAGGCGGCCCGGCAGGCCGGGGGUCGAAGCGGGGGGCUCAACCCCCCGAAGCCCCCGGAACCUCCGCGGCUUGGGUCCGGUAGGGGAGGGUGGAACACCCGGUGUAGCGGUGGAAUGCGCAGAUAUCGGGUGGAACACCGGUGGCGAAGGCGGCCCUCUGGGCCGAGACCGACGCUGAGGCGCGAAAGCUGGGGGAGCGAACAGG